rnacentral:rRNA from 1 species
CCUACGGGAGGCAGCAGUGGGGAAUAUUGGACAAUGGGGGGAACCCUGAUCCAGCCAUGCCGCGUGUGUGAAGAAGGCCCUCGGGUUGUAAAGCACUUUCAGUGAGGAAGAACGCCUGGUGGUUAAUACCCAUCAGGAAAGACAUCACUCACAGAAGAAGCACCGGCUAACUCCGUGCCAGCAGCCGCGGUAAUACGGAGGGUGCGAGCGUUAAUCGGAAUUACUGGGCGUAAAGCGCGCGUAGGUGGCUUGAUAAGCCGGUUGUGAAAGCCCCGGGCCCAACCUGGGAACGGCAUCCGGAACUGUCAAGCUAGAGUGCAGGAGAGGAAGGUAGAAUUCCCGGUGUAGCGGUGAAAUGCGUAGAGAUCGGGAGGAAUACCAGUGGCGAAGGCGGCCUUCUGGACUGACACUGACACUGAGGUGCGAAAGCGUGGGUAGCAAACAGGAUUAGAUACCCUAGUAGUC